rnacentral:lncRNA from 1 species
CAUGUCCAAAUAAUUACCCUUUGCUAAGGGGAGCCACCUCUUCUGAAGACAACUGGGAAAUCCAAACACCUCCCACCCCCACCCCUCACCACCACCGCCAAUAAUGACCAAUGACUGACUGAUAGGCCUAACUCCCUUGCCUCCUAAUGGAAAAACUCCUCAAGUUCCUCAUUGCUGCAUGAAACAACUCCUGACAUGUUACAGGCCAUGACCACACACAUUCCUCCCCUGUAUCUUCCUACUCUCAUUCUUUUACAGGUUUUUCCUAAAGAGCCCUCCCUCAAUAAAUCACAUACACCUAAAUGCCUGCCUCAGGCUCUGCUUCUGGGCCUUUCAUGCAAAGGCAGAGCCAUUUUCCUUAAGCCUACUGACCAUAGCACAUGCUCCCUGCAGGCAGGAAUACCCCAAAGAAAGGGGAUAAGUCACAGAUGCCAAAUUCUUAGUCCCAAAUCACAAUUUAGCAUGUCACUCCUCCUCCCAUGAGGAGCAGCGAAGGGCAUAGAAAAGCCUGGAGUGUUACCUGAAUAUGUGUCCCUUCACCUGAAAACUGGGUAAAUUAGGAAUAAGUAAUCCCCCUUGUCUUGGGUUGGCUCCCCAGAAGCAGGCUCUGAGAUGAGGAUUCAAGUACAUGCAGUUAAUUUAAGGAAGUGCUCCCAGGAGACCUCAAUAAGGAAAUGGAGGAAGCAGGACAGGAAAGCGGAAGUAGCUAAGCAAAUGUGUAAUUUCAGGCAACAUCCUAUGGAGGGUUGCUUCCACAUGAUCCCACAGGAGAAUGCCAAGUGUAAAUUAUGUCACAGGGUUUGUCCCUACUCAAGACAGAGGAAUUAAACUUUCAUACUUUCCCUCAAUAACCUUCAUUUGGUAAAGACUAUCCAGAACUUGCAAGUGGAAAGGGGUGGGGUUGCAAAAAUAUGAAUGUAAAUUCUCAGGCCUUUAGAAGUAAAUAUACACAGCCGGGCGUGGGGGCUCAUGCCUG